AACGAACGCUGGCGGCAGGCUUAACACAUGCAAGUCGAACGGUUGUAGCAAUACAGCAGUGGCAGACGGGUGAGUAACACGUGGGAACCUUCCUAGGGGUACGGAACAACUCAGGGAAACUUGAGCUAAUACCGUAUACGUCCGUGAGGAGAAAGAUUUAUCGCCCUUAGACGGGCCCGCGUCGGAUUAGCUAGUUGGUGGGGUAACGGCCUACCAAGGCGACGAUCCGUAGCUGAUCUUAGAGGAUGAUCAGCCACACUGGGACUGAGACACGGCCCAGACUCCUACGGGAGGCAGCAGUGGGGAAUCUUGGACAAUGGGCGCAAGCCUGAUCCAGCCAUGCCGCGUGAGUGAAGAAGGUCUUCGGAUUGUAAAGCUCUUUUACCUGGGACGAUAAUGACGGUACCUGGAGAAUAAGCCCCGGCAAACUUCGUGCCAGCCGCCGCUGUAACAC
rnacentral:rRNA from 1 species